AAUUAUGCAACAUAUUGUGUCAAACAAAAGUUUAUUGAUAUUGUGCAACCUACAAAAUAUCUGUAGGUUUUAUCAUGCAAAUAUUGUCGCAGUUCAGUUUCAGCAUUGAGAGUGAAAUCACCGUCAGUCAGUGUUAAUAACAAAACACCUGCUUAUAAAAGAAAAGAACGUUUAUCCUGUAUGAACAGAAGUCACAACCUGCAUCGUGGAUUUAGAGGAAAAGAAAAAUACAACCGAUAUGAUCAAUUUAAAAACUAUGGGAUUGAUCUGGAUCAUGUGUUUGCUGCCAUUUUGCGGUUGUCUUAAUGAGGAUGUGAUCCCCGAAUUAAGCGAGCCUGUGAAAAGAAUAAUUCGGUCUAACUGGAAUAAAACCGAAUUCAAUCCCGAUAUAAUCCUC